rnacentral:ncRNA from 1 species
UUGAAAUUGAUGAUUAAGAAGAGUAUGCAAAAUAGAAGGGUUACAGAGAGCCGGGAAUGGUGAGAAUCCGGUACGUGGAGUUUUGCAGAAUGGGCUUAUGAGAGGUUUCUUGAAGCAAUUUUAGUAGGGAAGCACGGGAUCCACCGUUACAUGGAUAGAGUAUAAGAUGCAAAAUCCGUACUCGAAUGAGUGGAAGAAUUAUGUAUUCUUCAAUAGAGGUGGCACCGCGAGAUAUCGUCCUCUAU